ACUCAAAUGAAUUGACGGGGGCCCGCACAAGCAGCGGAGCAUGUGGUUUAAUUCGAAGCAACGCGAAGAACCUUACCUAGACUUGACAUCUCCUGAAUUACCCGUAAUUGGGGAAGCUCUUCGGAGCAGGAAGACAGGUGGUGCAUGGUUGUCGUCAGCUCGUGUCGUGAGAUGUUGGGUUAAGUCCCGCAACGAGCGCAACCCUUAUUGUUAGUUGCUACCAUUAAGUUGAGCACUCUAGCGAGACUGCCGGGGUUAACUCGGAGGAAGGUGGGGAUGACGUCAAAUCAUCAUGCCCCGUAUGUCUAGGGCUACACACGUGCUACAAUGGCGAGUACAACGAGACGCAAGACCGCGAGGUGGAGCAAAACUCAAAAACUCGUCUCAGUUCGGAUUGUAGGCUGAAACUCGCCUACAUGAAGCUGGAGUUGCUAGUAAUCGCGAAUCAGAAUGUCGCGGUGAAUACGUUCCCGGGCCUUGCACACACCGCCCGU
rnacentral:rRNA from 1 species